UGACUACUUGCACCAAAAGAAGUAAUUUUCAAAUAAAUAAAGAUCAUGAAGGAACACGGGACGACUUUUUUUCUGUCUCACGGAACUUAGCUGCUUAAGGUUCCCAUUGCACUGAACUGAAUGGUGCUGUACAGUUUUUUCUCGUUAAUGCCAUCAUCAAUACUCAGAUCACUUUCUUAAGAAGAAUUAUUCACACUGCUGCCACCUAAAUUAAUGCAGCAUUUCCAGAAUACAUUUGACUGGUAUAUAUGUAAUCAGAAAUAAACAUUUUUGGACUUCUACCCUGGAUCUAUGAGAACCAGAGUAAUAUUAAAAAUGACAUGGUGAUUUAUUCAUGUUUCUUGAUUAACUUUUUACCAUCAAAUUUGUGACAGCUAAAAACUCUUUCAGUUUUGAUGAUGAUUAAUCCAUAUGAUGUGGCAGAUAUCCAAUAAGUAUGAUACUGUGAGUUUUUCUUGAUUUUCCUGUAUCUACAAAAUUGUGUUUAUUCACUUUUCCUGUAUUAUGUGUCAAUGUCUUCCAAAUUUUUAUUUUCUCUCAUGUCCUUAUUCUUUCCAGAAAUAAUUCUUGUGAAGCAGCAUCCUCAUAUAAUUCAUUGACAUUACAGUUCUUGAUAGAGUUGUGUUUCUUGUCACAUCUCUUAUUACUUAAAUCCUAUAUUAAUUUCUUUGUAAGACUCUGGACAGAAACAGAAGUGUGACAUUUGACAGCAAAGACCAUAGUCUUAUGUAAUAGUAGACAACAGUAGUAGUCUGUUCAGCACAAUCAUUAAUUGUUCAGGUAUUCAUUCUAUUCAAACAUAUGAUUUUUUUUUUUUUUUUGAAAAAAAAAGUGAUUGAUCAUAGCCAUUGAUAAAAACCUUAUACGGAUCCUUAUAUUAAAAAUUCCCCUGUGAGUUGGUCAGAUUUCUGCUCCAGAAGUCUGCAAGGGAAAAUGUAAGAUAUCUUGGACUCUUUUUUAUUAUUAUUAUUUAGCUAUAUUGUUAUGUACAUGCAUUACAUUACACACUUGUUUGGAAAUAUUUAGCUAGUAAACAAUGUCCAUACCAGAUUCUGGGUAUACUAAACAAUAAGAGUUGUUUAGUGUAAGAACUGGGGGCCCAAAGCCUGGACACAGAACUCUAGAUGGGACCCUCACUAAGGCAGAGUAGAGGGGUAUGGUUACCUCCCUUACCUUACUGGUCACUCCUCUUUUGACACAGUCCACAGUAUGGUUAGCCUUCUGGCCUACAAGCACACACUGUUGGCUCAUAUACAGAACCUCCAAGUAUUUCUCAGAGGACUGCUCACACCGAGUUCUCCCUAUCUAUUUAGAUGUCUGGGAUUGCCUUGACCCAGAUGUUGUACCUUGCAAUUGGCUUUGUUGAAGCUCAUUAGACUCACAUGGGCGUUCUCAAGCUUGUCCAGGUCUCUGUCUCCCUUUCUACACUUUUAUAAACAUAUAUUAUUAUGUUUCCCUUUUCCCAGUCACUGGGGAAUUUUGCUCUUCUCUUAUAGUGGGAGGGAUUUUGUUCCCCCAGCCCUCACCUAGAAUUUCAAGGUCUUGAGAGACUGCCGCAUUAAAGUGUUAAUGCCCACGUCAGCACUACAG
ensembl:lncRNA